AUGUACAUUAAGAGGGCAGGACUUUGGGUUGUGACAUUACGGGUUUAUGAGGAGACUUGAUGGUGCUAAAAUGAAUGUCAACCGUGUGUUUUAUGAG